rnacentral:rRNA from 1 species
CCUACGGGAGGCAGCAGUGAGGAAUAUUGGUCAAUGGGCGGGAGCCUGAACCAGCCAAGUCGCGUGAGGGAAGACGGUCCUAUGGAUUGUAAACCUCUUUAGGCGGGGAGCAAUGCCGGGCACGCGUGCCCGGAGGGAGAGUACCCGCAGAAUAAGCAUCGGCUAACUCCGUGCCGGCAGCCGCGGUAAUACGGAGGAUGCGAGCGUUAUCCGGAUUUAUUGGGUUUAAAGGGUGCGUAGGCGGAUUUUUAAGUCAGCGGUAAAAUGUCCGGGCUCAACCCGGGCCGGCCGUUGAAACUGGGGAUCUUGAGUGGGCGAGAAGUAUGCGGAAUGCGUGGUGUAGCGGUGAAAUGCAUAGAUAUCACGCAGAACUCCGAUUGCGAAGGCAGCAUACCGGCGCCCGACUGACGCUGAGGCACGAAAGCGUGGGGAUCGAACAGGAUUAGAUACCCUAGUAGUC